rnacentral:lncRNA from 1 species
CUGAAGUGUAGAAGAGAAGCUUUACAUCUGCUUCUUCCAGAAUGACGUUGGUUUCCCUCCAUAAAUAAGAAAGGAAAAAUCAAGGAGGAGGAAUAUGAUGCUUGGAGGAUCCUUUCAUGAGGCUCUCUAUGAAGACAUAGAAGGGCACACUAAUGAGGACAGCUCCUGAACUAAUCCAAGACAACUCCACCUGCACCAGCCAGCUGGAUCCCAGAAACAUGUAGUAGCCAUGACCUUGAGACCAUGAAAGCCAGGACCCCUGGGAGCCCUUGAGGAAGAUUAGCCCUGAGCUAACUGCUGCCAAUCCUCCUCUUUUCGCUGAGGAAGCCUGGCCCUGAGCUAACAUCUGUGCCCAUCUUCCUCUACUUUAUAUGUGGGAUGCCUACCACAGCAUGGAUUGACAAGCAGUGCCAUGCCACACCUGGGAUCCGAACCAGCGAACCCUGGGCCACCAAAGCGGAACGUGUGAACUUAAC